rnacentral:lncRNA from 1 species
CUCCAAGUAAUUCCUUGACUUGAUCGGAUGGUCCUGGUUGGUUGUCGAUGAGAGAACUGAAAUAGAAGUAAUUUUUUGAUGCGAUCCGAUAGUCCAUAACACAUUAAUCAUAAGAUCCAAUGGCUGACAUUGAUCUUGAUGUGACUUAGAACUGUUUGAGGCCUGAUUUGGGUUAUUUGAUGCCGAUGCGAUGGCCAAAAGCCUGAGACAUGCGAUGGACACGGAACAGAGAGCUUUAACACGUCCAGGACUCCUGAAACAUGAGGAUACCAUGGAUAAUCAAGACAUCUGAUACC